UACACAUGCAAGUCGAACGGUAACAGGAAGCAGCUUGCUGCUUCGCUGACGAGUGGCGGACGGGUGAGUAAUGUCUGGGAAACUGCCUGAUGGAGGGGGAUAACUACUGGAAACGGUAGCUAAUACCGCAUAACGUCGCAAGACCAAAGAGGGGGACCUUCGGGCCUCUUGCCAUCGGAUGUGCCCAGAUGGGAUUAGCUAGUAGGUGGGGUAACGGCUCACCUAGGCGACGAUCCCUAGCUGGUCUGAGAGGAUGACCAGCCACACUGGAACUGAGACACGGUCCAGACUCCUACGGGAGGCAGCAGUGGGGAAUAUUGCACAAUGGGCGCAAGCCUGAUGCAGCCAUGCCGCGUGUAUGAAGAAGGCCUUCGGGUUGUAAAGUACUUUCAGCGGGGAGGAAGGCGAUAAGGUUAAUAACCUUGUCGAUUGACGUUACCCGCAGAAGAAGCACCGGCUAACUCCGUGCCAGCAGCCGCGGUAAUACGGAGGGUGCAAGCGUUAAUCGGAAUUACUGGGCGUAAAGCGCACGCAGGCGGUCUGUCAAGUCGGAUGUGAAAUCCCCGGGCUCAACCUGGGAACUGCAUUCGAAACUGGCAGGCUAGAGUCUUGUAGAGGGGGGUAGAAUUCCAGGUG
rnacentral:rRNA from 1 species